GUCACUCUCUCGCCAGCUGAUCGGAGACACCGGCAAGAGUAAGAAACGGCAGAAGAGGAAGAAGAAGCCGCCGCCGCCGCCUGCGAGGUAUGCAGACAGAACUGGGGACAUGGAGCAUAAGUAUUUGCAAAUGUUGGCUAACCAACAGCAGUUCUUCUCUGGCAAACUUUAUGUUCCUGUCCACAUGCUAAAGCUGCCAGCUGAAGAACUGUUGUGGUCAGCUCUGUCCUGCACCAAAAGACUACAACCAGAGGAAUUUACCAUUUGAGCUAUAACUUGUAUGUAUGCUAGAGUUUUUAAAGCUAUAAACCUGAACAUUCAACUGUCGUAUAUCAAAUUGAGGUGUCCUGUCUGUCUGUCUGUCUAUAAAUAAAUAAGUGUUUUUAUGACAAAUAUGUGUGGAAGGUCAUGUUUUUAGCACAAAAUAAAACUUAAAUCACGAAAAAUGA